AUACAUGCAAGUCGAGCGAAUGGAUUAAGAGCUUGCUCUUAUGAAGUUAGCGGCGGACGGGUGAGUAACACGUGGGUAACCUGCCCAUAAGACUGGGAUAACUCCGGGAAACCGGGGCUAAUACCGGAUAACAUUUUGAACCGCAUGGUUCGAAAUUGAAAGGCGGCUUCGGCUGUCACUUAUGGAUGGACCCGCGUCGCAUUAGCUAGUUGGUGAGGUAACGGCUCACCAAGGCAACGAUGCGUAGCCGACCUGAGAGGGUGAUCGGCCACACUGGGACUGAGACACGGCCCAGACUCCUACGGGAGGCAGCAGUAGGGAAUCUUCCGCAAUGGACGAAAGUCUGACGGAGCAACGCCGCGUGAGUGAUGAAGGCUUUCGGGUCGUAAAACUCUGUUGUUAGGGAAGAACAAGUGCUAGUUGAAUAAGCUGGCACCUUGACGGUACCUAACCAGAAAGCCACGGCUAACUACGUGCCAGCAGCCGCGGUAAUACGUAUGUGGCAAGCGUUAUCCGGAAUUAUUGGGCGUAAAGCGCGCGCAGGUGGUUUCUUAAGUCUGAUGUGAAAGCCCACGGCUCAACCGUGGAGGGUCAUUGGAAACUGGGAGACUUGAGUGCAGAAGAGGAAAGU
rnacentral:rRNA from 1 species